CUCAAAUGUUCAAAGGCUAAGAUCACCACGUCCUGUGGUAACGCCUUUGUUUGUACAUCCUGUACA
rfam:Virgibacillus soli strain PL205 scaffold000014, whole genome shotgun sequence.